ACGUAGAUUGCACAAUGGGGAAAACAACAUACACAAAUAUGACCCACAGAUAAGUCUAUCCUCCCCCCACAACCUCAAGGUCACAACCUCUUUUUAAUGGCGUCUCCAUGGCUGUACCGGAUGUAGAUCCUGCUGUUGUUAAAGCAUCCUGCAAGACGUAUUUUGAAACUGUUAGAAGGGGUUACAGGAUGGCCCAAGAUGAAAACAAAGACAAGAUGGAGGACAGCAGGAUCACUGCGCACAUGAGAUAAAGAAAAAGAAGAGUAAGUAUAAAUAAAUAUAAAUCUCAAUAAAAGACACAGUCUGGGAGAGCUUAUUCGUUUUUUUUUAUACAUAGUAUUAUUUAUAUAUUGUAUUAUCU